GGGGAUCGAAAGACCUUGCGCUUUUGGAGCGGCCGAUGUCUGAUUAGCUAGUUGGUGGGGUAAAGGCCUACCAAGGCGACGAUCAGUAGUUGGUCUGAGAGGACGACCAGCCACACUGGGACUGAGACACGGCCCAGACUCCUACGGGAGGCAGCAGUGGGGAAUUUUGGACAAUGGGCGCAAGCCUGAUCCAGCAAUGCCGCGUGAGUGAAGAAGGCCUUCGGGUUGUAAAGCUCUUUCAGUCGAGAAGAAAAGACUGCAGUGAAUAACUGCAGUUCAUGACGGUAUCGACAGAAGAAGCACCGGCUAACUACGUGCCAGCAGCCGCGGUAAUACGUAGGGUGCGAGCGUUAAUCGGAAUUA
rnacentral:rRNA from 1 species